UGGGGGAUAUUGGACAAUGGGGGGAACCCUGAUCCAGCGAUGCCGCGUGUGUGAAGAAGGCCUGAGGGUUGUAAAGCACUUUCGGUUGGGAGGAGAGGUUAAAGGUUAAGAGCUAUUGACUGAGACGUUACCGACAGAAGAAGCACCGGCUAACUCCGUGCCAGCAGCCGCGGUAAUACGGAGGGUGCGAGCGUUAAUCGGAAUUAUUGGGCGUAAAGGGUGCGUAGGUGGUUAUAUAAGUUAUCUGUGAAAACCCUGGGCUUAACCUGGGGGAGAGAGAUAAGACUGUGUGACUAGAGUAUGGGAGAGGGUAGUGGAAUUUCCGGUGUAGCGGUGAAAUGCGUAGAGAUCGGAAGGAACACCGGUGGCGAAGGCGGCUACCUGGCCUGAUACUGACACU
rnacentral:rRNA from 1 species